rnacentral:tRNA from 1 species
CCUCUAUAGGAAAGCAGCAAUUCCAUUUGGUUU